GCUGGAUUUUGAAGGGUUGGAACGUAAUUCCAGCAUUCAAGAGGCAACAAAUCACGAAUUCUACUCACGCGAUUUUUGGUGAAGAUAUCUUGUUUGUUGGAUGCAGAUGCAAUUUGCGCCAACACAACUUUUGCGUCCACCCAACAAUACACUUUGGUAAUCCCGAGGGAUUUAGAAACUUUGUCCACUAAUUGUGCUCCCAGAGUUGCGGCGGUGAGCUCAAGUUUGGGGAUUGUUUUCUUUUUCACGGGUGUCACUUUAGAUUUGGCGGUUAACAAAUGACUGGCAAUUUUCCCGCUUGAAUCUAUGGUGACUCGAUAGAUGGCGGCACCAUAAGCUAAGUUGGAGGCAUCUGAGAACAUAUGAAGUUGUUCUUCGAGAGGUUCUGCGAAUGAAGAUGUCCAUCGGGGGAUUUUGAUCUGGGGAAUUGUGUGAAUUGCCUCCAGGAACUUCAUCCAAUCUCUGUCAAGUACUCUUCAAAGAUGUUGGAGUAUUCGUGAUACAGCUGAGGAUUUUGCGAGAGACGCCUUUCUAGGAAGUUCAAUUGCCGUGCUGAUUUACUUUGGUUACUUUCGAGUUCACCAAAGUUUCCUUUCAUCGGUAAAUGAACGAUGUACUGACCAGUUUCUGAUCUUCGGGUAGUACUUUGAGAGAUAGUAUGGCAAACAGCGGUGGAUUGUUGGGACAGCGGAUUUGCGGGUUGCCACUUGCCUCCAAUUGUCCAGCCGAAAACGGUGUUGCGUAGCGAUGGUUUUCCCUCUCCAAGUUUGUAAACAUCAUCCAGCAUGAUUUCGUCCUCAUGAGCCGCUCCAAUCAACAAAUCAAUGCGACCGGUUUGAUGCCAUGUGGGGUCAGCUAGUACGAAGUUUUCUGGGAUUCUAACAUCCUUCGGGUUAAUGCGGCAUGUGGGGACAAGCGUUGCGUUCACCUGAUGCUUGAUGUUGCUGAUUUGACCCUGGAAUCCCUCAACUUGACCGUAGGGAGACUUGGACAAAUUCAAACGCAGUCUUUGGCACAAAUCCGUAGUCAUAACAGAAAUCUCUGAACCGAAGUCCAAUAAUGCACGACAAAUGUGGACGUUAGAUUGGGAAUCGAGGAUUUUCACGCAUGCUGUCUUCAAGAUUGCUCGAUGACCUUCCACAUUGUUCUGAUUGGCCAAUGGAACGACGCCGCUACAAACGACAGGGCGGGCAUUCUCCUCAAGCACGGGAUUAGGAGCAUCCUUGGGCAAUUCAGAUUGGGAUUGGGUGAGAGCAUCGUGGAGCCAGUAAUUGUGCAUUUGGCCACAAUGUUUGCAGGGAGGAUAUGGGCAUUUGUCUAUAGGGUGGCGCGACCUACUUUCUGAGAUACAAUUCGAGCACAGAUUGAGAUUGUUCACAGUUUCGAGUCUUUUGAGAGCUGGCAUAGACUUGAAAUGACCACACUUCCAAAGCUGGUGUGAUGCCUUCUUGCACACGAAAUACCUGGAACUCAUCCCACGUCGGCAUAUCUGUCUGUUCACGAGCCCAAAGCGUCUGAGUCUCUGUAUCCAUCUUGCAUAGCACUUCAUGGAUAAUCCAGGGAUCUCUUCCGAAUGCCUGGAGGGCAUCAAUGGCAGCCAGCGUCGUCGUGGUGACAUCGUAGAUCUUCCUCAAUUCAUCUGCACGUGGAGUCUUUGCUGCUGGAAGUUUCUUCACCCGCUCAAUGUGCUCUUUGAUGACAGUUCGUCGAUUUUCAAAGCGAUUGCACAGGGCAUUCCAUGCGAUGGCAUAAUUUUCUCCCGUCAGCGUGAGAUGAUCUAUCACUCCUUUGGCCUGUCCAGCAAGUGAUGUCUUCAAGUAAUGUAACUUCUGCGUGUCCGUUAAGCGAGGGUUUGCAUCAACGAGACUUGUGAAUAAAUCUCUGAAGGAAUGCCAUUCAGCGUAGGCUCCGCUAAACGUCGGCACUUUGACUGGUUCCAACCGUGAGUAUUGAGAAUUUGAUCCUUCAUGUGCCCUAUUCAAGAGCUCGCUGAAU